AGAGGGGUCGCUGGCAAAGGGCAGAGGUGGAGGUGUUCAGGGCAAGCAGCCUGGGAAACGGCUUCAGCCUGGGAUAGAAGCACUCUAUCAAAAUUACCGGGAUACAUCCUGCCUUUGAUGGGGAGAUUAUUGUCUCUAAAGGGCCCAAGGAGAGGCUGGGCCUGAGGAGAAGCCCCAUGCCCUGCACAACACAUGAGGAAACUGAGGCACAAAGCCAUCACAGCAUCUACCCUUCUCUGAGCCAAAACUACUCUCUUCCACUGGUGUUUCCUUGUCUACGUGAAGCACCCAAAAGGAGGUCAGGCAGACCGGAGCAGCCAGCCUGAGCAUGCAGAGGGAGCAGGAUCCCGGUUCUUGGCUGCAUCUCCUGC